GUCUUUAUGAAGAAAAUAUAAGGUUGGGCCUGCCCAAUGAUGGAGUUGAAUGGCUGCGGUAUAUUGACCGUGCAAAGGUAGCAUAAUCAUUAGUUUUUUAAUUGGAAACUGGAAUGAAUGGUUUGACGAAAGAUAAUCUGUCUACAUUGUAAUAAAUUGAAUUUUAUUUUUUGGUUAAAAAGCCAAAUUGUUUGUAAGGGACGAGAAGACCCUAUAGAGUUUAAAUGAUUUUAUAUAUUUUGAUGGUUGGAUAGUUGUUGUUUUGAUAUAUAAAUUAUGUUUCGUUGGGGUGAUGAGAGAAAAAUAAUAACUUCUUUUUUAAAGGGACUUUAAUAAUAGAACGAAUUUGAUGAUCUUGUAUUAUGAAAUGGGAGAAUAAAUUACCUUAGGGAUAACAGCGUAAUUUUAUUUGAGAGUUCAAAUCGAUGAUAAAGUUUGCGACCUCGAUGUUGGAUUAAGAUGAUUAUUAGGCGUAGAAGUUUAAUUAAUAGGUCUGUUCGACCUUUAAAUUCUUACA
rnacentral:rRNA from 1 species